GCUACAUCACGUUGAAAACACCGAUUCCCGUACGAUCACCGUAGUUAAACAACGUCGUGUCAGAUCAAUACCUAGAUGGGUGAUCACUUCGGAAUACCAGAUGCUGUAAG